AGUUCACACAUUACUUGGAACGGAUUAGCAGCCAUUUUGAGAUACAUCGAGAACGUUUAUUUGAUCUGCAGAUUGUUGAUUCGUUGGCAAAAGUCUUUCCUGAGGAAAUGGAAAUUAUUAAAGCCAAGGGGAAUCACCUAGUGAAGAAUUAUUGUGUUAAUCCUGCUCUAUUAAAGACUGCGUCACUAUCACCAAGAAAAUCUCCCAGAAAUCGUUUGCCCGAUGGAACAAACCCAUACUCUACCCAUGUUGCUUCUGAUGAAGAAAUUAUGACAAGACAGUCGUUAACGUUUCGAGAUCUAGGUAAAUCAAUCGGACCAGUUGCUUUUGAAAUGGCAGCAAGAGAAUCUAUAUGGAAACAUAGUUUAGGUACUACAGCUUUAGCUUUAAACACAGAUAUACCAAUCCCUGUAGAGCCUCAAUCAUCCAGAAGCUCGUCCAGAAGAACAAGCAGUAUACAUACCAAACUUUCACCAGAAAAACUUAAAGCAGUAAUAGCUAAAUCAGUCAAACCUAGUCAGGAGGAAGUUCCAGUAAUGACUGGUCGUGAAGCUGUAGAAUAUUUUGCUAAAUGUCAUCAUAUCGGUAAAAUAGAGUCGAUUUAUUUCAAUCUGGCACCAUCACGGUAUUAUAGACCCUAUGAUUUAAUAUCAU